rnacentral:tRNA from 1 species
GGGACAGCGGCAUAACGGAUAACGCUCCUGACUACUGAUGAGGAGGUUCCAUGUUCGAAUCCUGGCUGCCUCG